UACGAAGGUGUCAAACGUUGUCCGGAAUAACUGGGCGUAAAGGGCGCGUAGGCGGUCGCGUAAGUCAGAUGUGAAAGCUCUGGGCUCAACCCAGGAAUUGCAUUUGAUACUGCGUGACUAGAGUUCGGUAGAGGAGGGCGGAAUUCCAGGUGUAGCGGUGAAAUGCGUAGAUAUCUGGAGGAACACCCGUGGCGAAGGCGGCUCUCUGGUCCGAUACUGACGCUGAGGCGCGAAAGCUAGGGUAGCAAAC
rnacentral:rRNA from 1 species